rnacentral:lncRNA from 1 species
UCGACUUUGGACGGGAGAUAAACACGAAAUAGGGGCGUUUUGGUCUGCACAAUCAAACUUAAAGCUCGAGAACAUCAGCUAACCUAAGGUUAAGGACGACAACCACUUAGAAUCUAUAAAUAGACUCCUUUGACACUUGUUAUAGACACCAUUCACUUAGCCUAGGUUCUCUCUUUUAAAAUUAGUUUAGUUUCUUUCUUUCUUAUGUUUUUAGAAUUUAUUUUCACUUGUUCUUUGUUUGCAAGAGAUUUAAUUUGUGGAGAUCGUUAAACUCUGUGGAUUAUUUUCAUCUUUAAUACAAACCAGACAUUUUCUUAAACUCUACACUUUAAUCCAUUUAUCAUGUUUUCUCUUUACAUCAACUCCAUAUUAUUUAUGAAAGCCAUGAGGAACUAAUCCUCCUAUUGGGGAUUAACGAGUGGAGGUAUGAUCUAUUAACUAUUUUGUAGGGUUACUCAACGGAUCAGUUGUUUCAGAAAGGAAGAAUGUGAAACAAAACCUAGGUCUGACAACCCCGGUAAGUUAUCAAGGUGGGAAUUAACCCAAAAUUGGUAUUGCCCAUCCG